rnacentral:rRNA from 1 species
AGGGUUGGCGUAGGCGGCCUGUUAAGUCAGAGGUGAAAGACGGUAGCUCAACUAUCGCAGUGCCUUUGAUACUGAUGGGCUUGAAUGGACUAGAGGUAGGCGGAAUGAGACAAGUAGCGGUGAAAUGCAUAGAUAUGUCUCAGAACACCGAUUGCGAAGGCAGCUUACUAUGGUUUUAUUGACGCUGAGGCACGAAAGCGUGGGGAUCAAACAGGAUUAGAUACCCUGGU